UACGGAGGGUGCAAGCGUUGUCCGGAUUUAUUGGGUUUAAAGGGAGCGUAGGCGGUCUUUUAAGUCAGUGGUGAAAUCCUCCAGCUUAACUGGAGAACUGCCAUUGAUACUGAAAGACUUGAGUACAGACGAGGUAGGCGGAACUGCGAGUGUAGAGGUGAAAUUCGUAGAUAUUCGCAAGAACACCAGUGGCGAAGGCGGCCGACUGGUCCGGUUCUGACGCUGAGGCGCGAAAGCGUGGGGAGCAAACAGG
rnacentral:rRNA from 1 species